GGGAGUGCAUGUACAGUGCUCUCUCCACCUUCAAUACCACGACUUAGGUGCCCUUGAGCAAGGCAUCGAACCCCCAACUGCUCCCCGGGCGCCGCAACAUAAAUGGCUGCCCACUGCUCAGGGUGUGUGUUCACAGUGUGUGUGUGUGCACUUUGGAUGGGUUAAAUGCAGAGCACGAAUUCUGAGCAUGGGUCACCAUACUUGGCUGAAUGUCACGUCACUUAAAAUGUGACCAAAGUGACACACAGCAAUAUAAUGCAGUUCAAUGAUUUCUAGGUAAAAAAAGAAGAAAACCAGAUGCGCCCAUUCAAGAAACUGGAAUAGUGAGUAUUCCUGCAUUUAAAAUCUAUAAAAUCAUGAAUUAACAAAUAUAUUUCCAAUAUAUCGUAGCGAAUAAUAAUGGCUGAAAGGAGCUUGACCUUUGUUACUGGUUGUUAUUUAGAGUUGUUCUGGACCUCCAGAGACAUAUUCUCUUAUCACUUCUGUACCAGAAACAUCUCAGCCCAUAUCUGCAGAUGUUUUGAUCAACAAACAACAGAAACAGGGAAAUCCAGAAGAAAAGAAGAAUGUUUAUCACCUGUACAGCACGAUCCCUGAAAACCAGUUCACUCAAAUGCAGACGAUCAAUCCGACAGUUUGCUGAAGAUGUCUUGUUUCAUUAUGUACAUGCAAUUAAGUAUCUUUACUUGCAGACAAACAGAUUUUAAUUUUCAUCAUUUAUGUAAUCUUUAUUGAGAGGAUCCUCUAUGGCAAGGCCCACUGGACUAAUACUUAUUAUUUUUUAUUUUUUAUUUUUUUUGCAUAAACACAAUUUCAGUAUGUAUAUUCAUGUGUGCUGAAUGUUUUAUAGAAAUUUCAUGCUCCCUUGCAAAAGGCUUUUUUUUUUUUUUUUUUUUGGUAUUUUCAAAAUACAAAAAUACAGUAGUUUAUUUUGAUACAUGGUGUGGCUGGUGUAUUUUGUAGUUUAUUUUUACACUUAAUAUUAAGGUAUUUGGUAUUUUAUAUUAAAAUACACUCUGAUGUAUCUUUGCCCAACCCUGUGUACAGAAACAUAGCAUAGUAUAGAAAAUUAAUUUUAUAUUAGUAAAAUGUAUUACAUGUAGCUAAAGUGCCUUCAGAUUACACAAAAUAUUAGAUAAAUAUGCAAGUUAUCAAACAAAUUAUCAUAAUGUCCAACUCAUUUAAUCUGUAUUAUUUUCUUUGUCAAACUACAGUCCACUUAAUGAACAGUGACUGAUCAAUACUGCACAAAUAUAUGAUUUGCUGAUAUGAUUUUUGCACGCAGUCCUUGUAUCUUAGAAAUUGACCAGUGACUGCAGAGCUGCUAAUUAUUUGCAUAUUAAUAAACAAUCAAGGGAAUUUUGAUUUCUCAUGUCAUGACCACUUUAACAUCGUUUUCGAAAACAAUGAAUUAUGAUGCAUCAUAAAUACAUAUUUAUGGGCAAAAUGGUAAAAGGGCAUUCCAUUAAGUCCCAGGGUGAUUUCACUUGUGAUUAUAUUUAAUUUAAAUAUAUAUUUUUUUCUUUUUAUUUGCUAAUCAAAACUAUCCUAAUCGUUUCCCUCGGGGAGAUCGUUGUAAUCUGCAAACUUCAAAGCAACCUGCUGCAAAUGUGUAAAAGUUGCUUCCUUUAUGAUAGAUUUAAAAAGUAGAUUUAGAAGUAUUUGUUACCAAAUAAUGUGCAUUCUCUUACACACACACCCACACCAAAAACAAUAUUUUUCACUGGUAAUUUCUGGCAACCACAGCAGCAGGUUUGUUGUUUUUUUUUUUUUUUUACCAUAAAUUUAACAGGAUAUUUUUUUUUUUUUUUUUACGGUGAAGUGUCAUUUGCAUUGAAAAAGCAAUUGUAAGUCGCUUUGGAUAAAAGCGUCUGCUAAAUGAAUAAAUGUAAAAAAAUUUAACGUAAGAAGCUACAUUUAUGAUACAAAUGUUGUCAAAUUUUAUGACAAUGUAUGCUAUUCUCACAAACAGCUCUGUGAAAUUUUCCUAUUUUGUCAUGCAUCUUUAGACUCCAAAUUAAAAGCUGAAUCAGUCUGAAAGGCAGGCAAAUAAUAAUGACAAAAGACAUUUAUGAUCAGCAUUGUCUGCGCUUCACACAGUACAGCUUAAGACUAAAGUUGAGGUUUCUGAAUCUUGAAGAACAGCUACAUGGACUGUGUUUAGCUGUGACGGCUCAUGGCAGCCAUUGAUAUCCAGCACUGUUCCACAUGUAAGAAGAUAACACUCAGCACAUUCUAACACAGUCUUUGACAGUAAUAAAUAUCAUCUAUCUUCAGUAAUCCAGACAUCACAAAGAUGAUUUUGUCUCUGUGAACUCAUGUUUGGCGGAAGCAAGGCUCUCUGAUUUGAGUGUAUAUUAAGCCUAAUGGAUCAAGGCAGGGGUCAGAGGUCACCUGCUGAUCAGGAACGACAACACUGGGAAUAAAAUGGAUACCAGUGGAAAAAGCAUUUGCUGAGCCUCAUUCCACAGCGUUCUCAUGUUAAAAAGAUAUAUAAAUAGGGUUAACAAGAGCAUAGAGCAAAACUGGUUCACAUAAACAUUUUGAGUGUACUUUCUUUCAGCUGUGAUGGGAUGAGCAUUUUACAGACAGAAUGAACGGGGUACUUUAAAAUAAAUCACUGUAUAAUAACGGAGUACAUGAAUGGCAGUUUCAAAAUACUGGAAAACUUUACAGUAGUUUAAAGUCUGGUAAGUUUUA
rnacentral:lncRNA from 1 species